GUGCAAACACGAAAGUGGACGUAUACGGUGUGACGCCUGCACGGUGCCGGAAGGUUAAUUGAUGGGGUCAGCGCAAGCGCAUCUCCUGAUCGAACCCCCGGUAAACGGCGGCCGUACGUAUAACGGUCCUAAGGUAGCGAAAUUCCUUGUCGGGUAAGUUCCGACCUGCACGUAUGGCGUCAUGAUGGCCAGGCUGUCUCCCAACCCGAGACUGCGUGCAAUUGAACUCGCUGUGAGGAUGCAGGGUACCCG
rnacentral:rRNA from 1 species